UUGGGUUUAUGCUAAUUGUGGGUGAUUAACUGACUGUGGGCUGGAAACUCUUCUUACAGCUCCCUGCAAGCAGGCUGGGAGGAAGGAGCUAGGGAGCAGUGGUGGUGAACAACACACAUAAAUCUGUAGGUUCUGCCUUGCAGCCAGGCCUGCUGCAGGCAGAAGGCAGCUGGAUGGGACAGCAUGGGGUAAGGGCUCAAGCAGGGUCUGUAUUUAGGGCAAAAGGAGCUGCCUAUCUUGCACAGCUGACUUGAGUUGUCGGGAUGAGGACUGCCCAGCUGGGUGUACCUUCAGACCUUGACUCAGGAGCAGUAACUGGGAAAAGAGGACAGUGGGGAGUACAGGAUGCUUGUCCUUCCCUGGAGCAACCAGAUGUACCUGUAGGUCAGAAAUGACUGAACUGUCUUCUGUCACCAUCCCACAGCCAGCUUCCUAAGCCUGGAUGUCUGGAGCCAUGUGGUACGACCCAAAUAUAACAGCACGAGGCAGCCAGAGAGCAUCGUUCUCGGGUCACACAGGAAGUGUAUCUCUUUGAACGUCCCCCAGACCCUUUCUGCACAGGGCAUUAUGAUGCCAGGGAAGGAAGAGGUAACCACUGAGGAGAUUUUGAACCACUUUUGAACCAUUGAGGAGAUUUUGGCAAUGCCCAGUGUGGGACACUUCUGCCUUACAGAAAGCAUAAUGGGAGCCCUCAUAAAUGAAGAUAUGCCUUUGCUGUGAAAACAAUGGUGCCUCUAAUUACAAGAGAAGAAUCUUCAGUCUUAGAACCAAAUUAUUGAUAAGGAAAUAUCCUUAUUUAAGUGUAUCUAAUUGAGAACUGCACUCCAGCUCCUAUACAUGGGUGAUGCUCAGCAGCUGUGGAAGUAGAAGUAAUCCAGCUGACUUCUCACCCAGCUCUACGGUGCUUUACAGCAAAGCUGAUGAAGCCUAAAGGUGUCUCUCCUCACAAAACCUCACUGCAUCCCUCCAUGUGUUAUUGCUGCUCUGAGGCAGGGAUGGCAGAAAGCCCCAAUGGGGAUUUCUGCUCGAUUUUGGUGAAAUUUGAUGUUAAUUUGGGAUUAUGUCUGAGCCUGAAUGUGGGAAAGAAAGAAGGCACCUGUAGGUGCCUGCUGAGCCAUGAUGUGGCUCUUAUUCUCUGCCUGCUGUCGCAGGUUGCCCUGCCCUGCAGCUGCUCAGACCCACAUGUAAACACCAAGCCACCAAAUUGCUCUCCAAGUUACCUUUCAUCUCCUGGAAACAGAGAGUGAAACCAAAAUCUGCUUUGCUGUGUUUAGAGCUCAGCUGGCCACCUCUCUGUGAUGAAAAAUCCUGCUGCCUUCAUGUCAUGGCUUUGGGGCUGUCUGCUGGGGUGCUGUGCUCCCAUCCCAGUGUCUAGGGCCAAUUUUCGUGUUCUCCGGUCCUAAUGGGGACAGAGUCCUCAUCCCAAACCUAGCAGUAAGGAAACUAGCUGUCUACUCAGCUUUUCCAGAAAAAAAGUGAAGUGAUGGCUGGGAGGCCCAGUCCCUACUUAAUGCUGUGAUGUUGCUAUGAUGCUUCUUAAAACUGACUACUGGGAGUUAGCAAUGAGACAAACUGUGUUUGGUUCCUGACCAAGUCUAUGCUUGUUUGUGAUGCAAUUAGAGUGAAGUAAUACACAUUGCAUGUAGAAUGGUCCAAAUUUCUCAUAGAGAUGAGUGUUAUUGCUGGGCAAAGCUCAGGAACUGUCCCCAGCCCGGUGGUAAUUGUAAGGUAUGGCAGUCCUUUGAAACUGUUUUUGUAUGCAGGGCUGGAAGGGACCUCCUAACUCAUGUCCAAUUGCCUUCUAUUUUCUUCAACUUUGUAGACUAUUGGUUUUCAUAAACAUGACAUGUUCUGUCUUCAAGGGGAGGGGCUUGUCCUCAUAGUAUUCCAGCUGAAAACCUCUCCAAAACCUCCAGGCUCUGUGACCAAGAAAUCAUCUUCUCCUUUCCAACCUGCCUUCCAUUUUGUCUGGUCCAUACCCAUUUAAUUUGCAUCAAAAAAUGUUCCUUUGCUUAAAAACAUUCCUUUUCUCCUUCAGCAAGAGAAAACACAGAACCCAGUGUAGAGGCUAACCAGUGGCUACCUCUUGAGAUCCUCAUGCAGUUUGCCCCAAACUGUAGCAACUCACACAUCUGAUGGUUAGAGCACUGGAUCUUAUAGCCCCAUAGGAUUAGCAAUAAGACAUAAAAAGAGAGAUUUCAGAAAUUGCUAGGAUGUCCAGGGAGACUGAGACUUACUGGUUCACCACAUCAAAAAGACUGCCCUACUGCCUGAGCAUCCCU